AUUGAACGCUGGCGGCAGGCCUAACACAUGCAAGUCGAGCGGAUGAAGGGAGCCUGCUCCUGGAUCCAGCGGCGGACGGGUGAGUAAUGCCCAGGAAUCUGCCUGGUAGUGGGGGACAACGUUGCGAAAGGAACGCUAAUACCGCAUACGUCCUACGGGAGAAGGUAGGGGACCUUCGGGCCUCGCGCUAUCAGAUGAGCCUAGGUCGGAUUAGCUAGUUGGUGAGGUAAUGGCUAACCAAGGCGACGAUCCGUAACUGGUCUGAGAGGAUGAUCAGUCACACUGGAACUGAGACACGGUCCAGACUCCUACGGGAGGCAGCAGUGGGGAAUAUUGGACAAUGGGCGAAAGCCUGAUCCAGCCAUGCCGCGUGUGUGAAGAAGGUCUUCGGAUUGUAAAGCACUUUAAGUUGGGAGGGAGGGUUGUAGAUUAAUACUCUGCAAUUUUGACGUUACCGACAGAAUAAGCACCGGCUAACUCUGUGCCAGCCGCCGCAGUAAAAC
rnacentral:rRNA from 1 species